rnacentral:rRNA from 1 species
UACGUAGGGAGCAAGCGUUGUCCGGAUUUAUUGGGCGUAAAGAGCUCGUAGGCGGUUCCGUAAGUCAGGUGUGAAAAAUCUGGGCUCAACCCAGUGGAGCACCUGAUACUGCGGUGACUCGAGUCCGGUAGGGGAGUGUGGAAUUCCUGGUGUAGCGGUGAAAUGCGUAGAGAUCCGGAGGAACACCAGUGGCGAAGGCGACACGCUGGGCCGUACCUGACACUGAUGCGCGACAGCAUGGGGAGCAAACAGG